rnacentral:rRNA from 1 species
UACGAAGGGGGCUAGCGUUGCUCGGAAUCACUGGGCGUAAAGCGCACGUAGGCGGAUCUUUAAGUCAGGGGUGAAAUCCCAAGGCUCAACCUCGGAACUGCCUUUGAUACUGGGGAUCUCGAGUCCGGAAGAGGUGAGUGGAACUGCGAGUGUAGAGGUGAAAUUCGUAGAUAUUCGCAAGAACACCAGUGGCGAAGGCGGCUCACUGGUCCGGUACUGACGCUGAGGUGCGAAAGCGUGGGGAGCAAACAGG